GAAGAGAAGCAUGAGGUUACAUCUGUAAUCUCCCUGCAGCAGAGUCAACUGCAUAAGAAACCAAAAGACACACCUGCUCCAUGCCAGCUUCGAUAAUUUCUUUGUACCUUCGGCGAAAGAAGCCCAUCUGAAAGGCAGAAAGAAAGAUGAGAAGCUGAGUUAGAAGUGCUGAAGAAUCAGCCAUUGUGACCCUAAGGCAGUCUGUCCCUGGGUAGGUGUGACCUGCACUCACAGGGCUGGGGAGGCUUGGAGGACCCCUCGGAUUAGAGAAAACACUGGCAAGAAAAACAUCCUGUGGAGACAUUUUUCAAAAUGCAUGGACUUCCUGCGGGUGAUAUUAGGCUUCUUCACUGUGAGCCAAACAUCCAGGGAAGCAUCACAGCCACCCUGAUGGUCAUAAGCUCCCCUGAAGAAGGGAAGGCAGGUGGAGCUGAGGAGCUGUCUGUUGCCACCAUCUUUCUACUUCCCUAAAGGUGGCUUAUUGGCCAAGCCAAAGACGAGAACUGUCAAGAGAGCCAGCAGGUAUCUUCACCCACGUUGCCAAGGAGAUCCUGAGCAUUCACUGUGAGGGGAAGUCGAUAAGGUGGUGCAGUUUGAAUGACUGGGAAAGAGCAGAAGCUUUCUUAGAACAACUGGCAAGAGUCUUGUGUUCUGAGCUUCAAUCCUCAAGGCCAGUUUUGUAAACAGAUAUUGAGUUCCUGGUGAUUUCAGCCCUGGAGGUUUCUUCCCAGCAUAAGACCACAUUCAUCAGAAUGCCACGUUCUGACGCCCCCACACAUAUACUUUUCUCUCCUGAAACCUCUUCACCUUCUCCCCUCUGCAAGAGAUGUGGAAAAGGUGCUUGGCCAGAAUUUUCUGGAUAAUUAAGAAAAAGUCAUAGACAUCAUCCCCACAGCACACGCACAGAAGGCCAGAAAAACGGACCAAGACUGAAUGGAAAUCUAAGAAGCUACUGCUUGAAAUGUCAUUCUUUGCGAUAAAGAUAUGGUUGGCCAAGAAAACAUGACCAGAUGUGGCUGGUCACAUACCAUGAAGGAGAAUGUAAUCAUGAAACUGUGGAAGGAUGUAACAGGGAAAUAAGAUUCUCUAGCACAUACCUUUGGCUGCUGAUGUUGUAAUGUGUCAAUAAUCCCAGGUCACUCAGUUGUAAUUCCAGAGAAGUCACAUUUCCCUACCAUGGCACUAUCAAGCAGAAACUUAACAGUCUGCCCCCUUAUUAUCUCCUGCAUUUGUCUUAGGACUCUUUGAAGGCAGGCUUUGUGCUUUCAAUCCCCAGUACUCAGCAUCUCACCUGUCCCUGGUACCAGCGAUAAAUUGCAAAGAUGCCCACAUACCCUCCACACCUUUUACCACGUGACUCUCCAGCUCUUCCCAUCGUGAGGUGGAGUCUAUUUUCCCAGCCUUGAUUCUCCACUGAGACUAGCUUUGACAAUUGGAUGAGAGGGAGGAGACGUUGUGUCUGUUACACACUUAGUCCCCAAGGGGCUGUGCACACUUCCAAUUACUUUCUCAGAACCCUGCCCUGCUUCCACACAAAUGCCUAUGUCUAACCUGCUAAGAGACCAGUUUUUUUUGAAGCCCUCCCAGACUAGCCAACUCCCAGCUGCCCGCAGAGGCACAUGUAAGUCUCACUGAGCUCAAACGGCCCCACUGAGCUCAGUCCAAAUAGCCAACCCACAGAACUGUGACCUGCAUAGAUGGAUAUUGCUUUUAAGCCGCUGAAUACUGGGGUGGUUUGUCAUGUAGCAUAAGUUAACUGGUACGGACUCAAUAUUUUUUUUGCUGACUUAAUGAAUCAGACAGACAGCUGAUAGGGCUCUAGAUUUAAACAGCAUCAGUUAGUGUGCCUUGCUGAACUAGACUUUUCACUUUUUUUUUUUUUGAGACAGAGUCUCACUCUGUCACCCAGGCUGGAGUGCAAUGGCGCCAUCUCGGCUCACUGCAACCUCUGCCUCCCAGGUUCAAGUGAUUCUCCUGCCUCAGCCUCUCGAGUAGCUGGGAUUGCAGGCGUGUACCACCCUGCCCAGCUAAUUUUCGUAUUUUUAGUAGAGACGGGGUUUCAUCUUAUUGGCCAGGCUGGUCUCAAACUCCUGACAUCAAGUGAUCCGCCUGCCUUGGCUUCCCAAAGCGCUGGGAUUACAGGCGUGAGCCACCGCGCCCGGCCUGAACCAGACUUCUCUUGUUCAUCUCUAAGAGCAAAAGCUGGCUCACUUUCUCAUCACUAUGCUAGUGUAAGGAUUUGAUACAGACAGUGUGUUAACAAUCUGGAAAUGAUUUAGAGCACCUGAACUCACUCUUACAUGUGGCUUUCAUGUGCUCAAGUUUUUAUGUACGCAAUUCUUGCUAACAACAAGGUGAAGGCACUGUCAUCUCUUGCAGGCACCCAGAAGCAAGCUUCUUUCUCUCAGUGGAGUGGUGUCAGCAUUAGGCCUGAAAAUCACCCCCACCCACCCCUGGCUGAAACAGCCUUGCAAGCUCUAUGCCCCACUGUAACACUGCAGGGUCUCCAGUCCCGUUCCUCACACAGCCUAUGCGUAAUCUCUUGGAUGGGAGGUCAGAGCUACCAUUGAUGUAUGUCUUCCUUUUUUUAGAGUCUGAAGACCAUUUCUUAAAACAUAAUGCACUCUCAUGGCUAGGGAGUUGUAGGUACAGUAGUGCAGGUGCUACACUGCAUUUAAGGGGCUGGGGGAUACCACUCACAUCACAGAUAUCAUGUAUGUGUAUAAGUUUAUUAUAACUGUUUUCCAACAGAUGGCAGUAGAGUGUCUUGUUCUCAUAAAAUCAGAGUUUUCUGAAUUUUUUCUGACAGAUGGAAGUAAAGAGUCUUUAGGAAGGGGUGCUAUUUACUAUUAUAGUUUGCACAAAGGUACCCUAUAGUCUAGCGGUGGCUCUGUCAAACUAAUAUUGUUUCUUUUUUUGGGGGGUGGGGGAUGGAGUCUCACUCUGUUGCCAGGCUGGAGUGCAGUGGCGCGAUCUUGGCUCACUGCAACCUCCGCCUCUCGGGUUCAAGCGAUUCUCCUGCCUCAGCCUCCCAAGUAGCUGGAAUUACAGGUCUGCACCACCAGGCCUGGCUGAUUUUUAUAUUUUGGUAGAGAUGGGGUUUCACCAUGUUGGCCAGGCUGAUCUUGAACUCCUGACCUCAGAUGAUCCGCCUGCCUUGGCCUCCCAAAGUGCUGGGAUUACAGGUGUGAGCCACCGCGCCCAGCCUGGGAAGGUUAUUUUCUGGCUUCGAGCCAUAGUGUCUUCGUCUCUGCCUAAGAGAUCAAUGGGAUUCUCAGACCUCUUCCAGCCCUGAAACAUCAUGACAGCUUUUUCUGUUUUCCCCAAAGUGAAUUCAAGGCUCUAGACUGUGGGCCACACAGCUGGGUACUCAGGACUCACACUAAGGGGGAACAAGGCACAGAGUCUUUGUCCCAUCUCAAUUUUUCUCAAAGAUUUUUGAGAAAUUUUUUGAAAAUUCAAUUUUCAAUUUUUAAAACUCUGUUAAUUUUUGAAAGAAACAAAUAAAACAUAAUUUAAUAAUAUUUUAAAAGAUUAUGAGGUCUUUGAAUUCACAAAACACAUGCAGUUAUGUUCACUUAUUUAACUUUUAUAGUCUUUUGAACUGUGGGAUUUUAAGGUCAAUUUUACCGAUGAGGAAAGUAGGCAAGGCUUGAUGGAGUUGAACAUGCAGCUCUUGAUCAGAUGUCUUAUAAUAAGUGUCAGAAUUGGGGACUUGCUAAGUAAGUCUAGGACUCUUAACUCAUGUAACAUAGAGACUGCCUGAUUACCUCAUCAAGAACGGAAAAAAUAUCAGUUCUCUAAAAAUAAAAACUCAAAAUAAGCAACCCAUGAGAACAAGUCACCGAAAGUAAUUUGCAAGAACCAGAAAAAAGCAUGUUAUCUUCUAAAUGCCCUAGAGGCACAAUAUUAUUCCCAACAGUUCUCAAUAAAUGCAAGUCAAUAAAUAAAGAACAGGUCUUCCUAGCUAACAUUUUCUAAUAGAAUGUCAAUCAGGAACGAGGAAGUGAAAAACUAAAUUUAGCAAGGCUUCUGUCAUCCCCUUAAGAUAAUGACUUCAACUAAAGAUAAUGGCUAAAGAUAAAAUAUAAAAACUAAAGACUAAAGAUAAACACUAAACUAAAGAUAGUGACUCUGAAUUUGAUGAUCUAACAAGUACAAAUAAUCCCCAAGUUACCAUACCUCAACUUAACAGUUUUUUGACUUUAUGAUGGGUUUAUUGGGGGUAUUAAAUGCAUUUCUGACUUAAAAUAUUAUAAGUCAAGGAGCACCUGUAGUUCCUUUGCUUAAGAGAUACAUGGUCUAAAUCUGUAACUCUUCAUACACAUGCCAGGAAACCCACGAGCCCCUUCAGCCUGCUAUAGUACUUCAUAGCCAGUCCUACCUAUUCCAUUACUGCCAGGACCCAAAGUCCCCCUACACUUGGGAAAUUAGCACAUCCCAAGGUUAAGUAGGCCUCCUUCAGACAUACACACCCGCUCAUGUGAGCACGCAUGGGUGCCUUGGGGAGAGCUUUGAGAAGCACUGGGCAAAUCUCUGUUUUUCUUGCCAGCUGAGCCCACCCUGAAGGUGCUGGGAAAUGAUUAAUGAUGGGCUAAGCUGGAUGCCCAGCAGCCCCACACUCACUUCCAAGCCAAUGGAGUCAAUGUUUUUCUGCAUUUUUUCUGGAACCUUCCAGUGCUUGCUUCACCAUUUGAGGGGCAAGGGGCUCUGUUAACUGUUCUAUCUGUAGCAGAAGAAACAUAGAAACCCUAGAGGAGGUGACUCAAGCCAAGCUUUGCUUGGCUGGAAGCCGAAGGAACAGUGUGCUUUCUGGUUUUUGUGUCUGCUGGUCCUGCAGCUCCAAAGAGCAGCUCCCUGAACCCUCGUAACAGACAUACACAAUUUUCUCAUAUAACCAUGUAUCCAAAAGCAACCAGAAAACUCCUAGGGAAACAACAGAUUGCCCCAAACAGCCUUACUUAGAUGGGUGCUGCAUGAGGCAUGAGGCCUGACUGAGUUCUGGUGUAUCCACCCUGCAGCAGCAGCCUCUUCCUCCCCAGCCCCCUGCAGGGUGAGAGGGACCAGCUGGACAACACCAUGACAUCUGGUCUCUUGGGGGAUCCUACCCGCUCCGCGGCCUUUGGGUUGCUUCCUAGACAGUGAUUCUGAGGACCUAGGACAAAUUCCUUUUUUGGACUAACUCAAGACUUCAUGUUUAUAGUUCUCUUCAGUUACUUGACUAUUUACAUAGCAUGUCUCUGUCUCGAGAUGUCGACAGUGCAACAUCAGCCCAAUAUUUACUCCCAAGCAUAAACAAGCCCCCACUGAAUGUCAUUGGCACAUGGUUCUAAUUGAGGCAGUGUGAAGGGUGUGUGUGCAAGCACAUGGGCAUGUGUCUGUGCAUUUUUUUUUUCUUUGGAGGAGAAGCAAGGAUGCCCUCCCAGACCAGUUUGAAGGGAAGGUGAUAACCCAGUGACCUGUGGAGGGGUUGCCAAACCUUACACAUUCUCUGAGCCAUUUCACAGAUUUGUUUUCUAAGUGUUUCUGCCUUAGGUCAGAAGUAAUGCUCUCAAAUAAAAACCAUGAGCCCAAAGCCAGUCCUAAAGCAGCAGCCUCCUGGAACAGCCCCAGCUGAUAUAGGGUUUGAGGCAGCCCUUUUCAGAGGGCUGGCAAACACAUUCUGCAGCCUGCCUCUUUGCCACUUGAGCAAGUAGGUCCUGGGCCUCCUGGGAAGAGAUGGCCAUAGGGCUGGCCAAGCAGUCUCACUUCCCUUUGCUCCAAACCAUCUCGGUUUGCAAAAGGGUCAAAUGGGAGAGAGAGGGUCCUUGGUUGACAGCAGUGAGGGAGGAUAUGGUCUCUCUCCUUCACUGAGUGGUGGCCUGUAUGUUUUGGCAAACUGCAAACAAACAAGGACAGAGCUGGGGAGGGGAGGAGGGUGUGAGGGAGGCAGAGAGAAAGACAGGGAGGGAAGAGCUUGGAGCCCUAAAUAAGGGAAGGGGGGUGUCUUUCUUCAAAAGGAGAAACACCCCAUCAUCUUCAUUCUUUCCACAGAAACCAGGCUGGCUUAUAUAAGCUGAAGGUAUUUCUUAAAGGUGCCAGUCACACACAAAGUUGUUAUCCCUCCUGCACCUCUGAACAAUUUAACUUUCUCCUCCUAAACAGGCCUUUAUGAUUGUCUUGAAGAGAUGCCAGGCCCAGGCAUCUUCCAACCCAGUCAGGAGCUGCAGGAAAGGAGAGGGGACUCAUUUGGACUUUUCUUCCUUUAAAAGCGUUUCAUAUUUCAAAGUUUUCUUCCUGCAUGGUGGUUUGGCUGGCUACUGUAAUCCUCGCACAUAAAGUUUAAAUUAUGGCUCCCAGUGUCUGCUAACAUCUCAGCUUUGGGAAAGCUGAUUAGGAUCCAUUUCAGAAUUUGAAGAGCGGUCUGGUUAGCUUGGGGCCCUCAUUGUGGAUUUUGUAUCAGAGCCAGGGCAUGCUGCCGCCAAGCAUGAGAGGAUGCCUGAGAUGCCAGCAGAUGGGCUUUCUUGAAGGCCGCCAGGAGCUGCACAGGGUCAGAGGCAGAUGAGGGGCUGGUCUGGCUGAGCACAUCAGCAGGGAGCCUGGAGCUCAGCUCUGGAAAAGACACUUGCUGACCCGAUAAGGGCUUUCUGAUUUAGGUAAACAGUAGCACCACAGUGCAUGUGUAGGUGGGGCCAGGGGCUGGUGGCACAGGCCAAGUCCUGCUCACCUUCAGGGCUUUGCUGAAGCUGAUUUUCCUAAAGGUCUUCAAGACUAGGUGAGGGCUCUGUUGUUGAGGCCAGGCAUGGUGGCUCACGCCUGUAAUCCUAGUAGUUUGGGAGGCCAAGGUGGGUGGAUCACUUGAGGCCAGGAGCUCAAGACUAGCCUGGCCAAUAUGGUGAAACCCUGUCUCUACUAAAAAUACAAAAAUUAGCCAGGCAUGGUGGCACACACCUAUAAUCCUAGCUACACAGGAGGCUGAGGCAGGAGAAUUGCUUGAACUCGGGAGGCGGAGGUUGCAGUGAGCCAAGACUGCACCACUGCACUCCAGCCUGGGUGACAGAGUGAGACUCUGUCUCAAAAAAAGAAAAAAAAAAAAAAAAAAAGAAACAGACUAGGUGAGGGCUGUUGUUUAUUUAUCUUUGUCCCUUUGCCCAGGGCCUGCCACCUAGCAGGGACCUACUACUCUUUGCCUAGUGAAGGUGCUGGCCAUCUUGCAAGCAUAAAGCAUGCAGACCUUCAGGCUUGUGUGGUGCUGUGAAUGCGGCGGCAUGGCCAGCUGCUCUGCUCAGCUUUCAGUACCAUGUCACGAUUCACGUUUAUGCAACACUUUUGGGAACAACCACUUUUGGCUCAGGUGCUCAAGGCAGCAGCAAAUGACCAUAGGUAGCAAUGCCAAGAGCUACUCUAGAAGGACAUUCAAGAGCCACAGUUCUGUAAAGGGAAGAGGACUUCAACACUGUCCCCGCCAACCGCUGUCUUCAAAGGCCCUCAGUGAAGUGGGCAACCGGUCAGCAGUGGCAGCUGGGUAACACUCAGUGGCUUUCCCCUUGAAAGGAAUGGAGGAAAUUACAUAUGGAAUAUGGCAAUAAGCCGGAAACAUUAAGACCUCCCGUAUAAGUCAAAUAUGAGGCUGGAGUUUAGACCAUCAAUUAACAGGUCUUUGGGUUACUGCACCGUACUGUCAGUGUGAUACCGAAUCACUAUUCACUACACAUAAUGUAUCAUUCUUAGGUUGUAGACAUGGGAAUCAGAGUUGACAAGAGGUCUGUAGUUGAAGUUCUAGAAAUACGUAGGUCUUUAAAAUAAUCCUACAUUUCAAUUGCCCUUUUAACCUCUUAUAAAGUCUUUUGAGACUUUAUAAGUCUCAAAAGUCAUAGUUAGCCUUUUGAGAAAAAAAAUUUUUUUUCCCUAAAGAAAUCCCCGCCAAGCCCCUUAUCACAUUACAACACUGCCUCAACAGACUGCACACUCUGACAUAAAUGCUGCACCAACAUUUUCUGUUCGCCUCCUCUUCCCCAAAGGAGUUCAACUGUGAUUUUAUCUAUGACACUAUGGGAGAGAGAUGAGGUUUCAUCUACUUUAAAAUAGAACAAAACUUCUAGUUAGGCGAAUUUUUGUUUGUAAUAGUGACUUUUAGGGAAAAGACACGGUGGCUCACACCUGUAAUCCCAGCACUUUGGGAGGCCAAGGCAGGCAGAUCGCUUGAGGCCUGGAGUUCGAGACCAGCCUGGCCAACAUGGUGAAACCCCGUCUCUACAAAAAAUACAAAACUUAGCCAGGCUUGGUGGCAGGCACCUGUAAUCCCAGCUACUCAGGAGACUGAGGUAGGAGAAUCUCUUGAACCCAAGAGGCGGAGGUUGCAGUGAGUCGAGAUCAUGCUACUGCACUCCAGCCUGAGUGACAGAGUGAGACUGCCACAAAAAAAAAAAAAAAAAGAAAAGAUUUUGCCCAUAUUUUGAACAUCAUGCAUGUGACAGAUAAAAGACAGCCACUAAGGCUUUGCCACUUCUCCCAUUGAGAAGCAGGGUCUAUUUCCCCUCUCUUGAACCUAAGCUGGCAUAUGACUGCUUUUACCAACAGAAUAAAUGAUGCUAUGCGCCAGCUGUGGGCUAGCAUUUAAGAGAACUGGCAGCGCUCUCUUUCAGCCUAAGCCACCACAUAAAAAGUCAGACCAUCUGCUGGAAGAACCACAUGGAGAGGCCCUGAGUCGACAUGGAGAGGAAGAAGGACUUGACUGAAUCCAGCCUUCCAGCUGUCCCUACCAAGGUGCUAGGCACGAGAAUGAAGCUGUCUUGGACUCUGAAGACCAGCUUAGCCACCAGAUGCCAAACACUGAGCAGGCUUUGUUCUCCACCUACAAACCAGAGGCUGUCUCAGCAGGAAGGAGUUGGAGUUGGAGAAAAAGGAGAAUUAAGAAUCUAUCUGGCGAUGUGGAUUAAAUAAACAACAAAUUGGCAGAUUGUUUUUAAAAGGCAGGAGAGCUGGGCAUCUAUACGUGGGGACCCCAGGGGGACCUGCAAUCACCAGACUCACCUUCCAGAGCAGCACGGCCAGCAGCAGGAAGAUGAGGAUUCCCA